rnacentral:tRNA from 1 species
GCCUGGGUGGCUCAGUCAGUUAAGCUUCUGACUUCGGCUCAGGUCGUGAUCUCACGGUUUGUGGGUUCGAGCCCCACGUUGGGCU